rnacentral:rRNA from 1 species
ACGAACGCUGGCGGCGUGCUUCACACAUGCAAGUCGAACGGAAAGGCCCUGCUUUUGUGGGGUGCUCGAGUGGCGAACGGGUGAGUAACACGUGAGUAACCUGCCCUUGACUUUGGGAUAACUUCAUGAAACUGGGGCUAAUACCGGAUAGGAGCUCCUGCUGCAUGGUGGGGGUUGGAAAGUUUCGGCGGUUGGGGAUGGACUCGCGGCUUAUCAGCUUGUUGGUGGGGUAGUGGCUUACCAAGGCUUUGACGGGUAGCCGGCCUGAGAGGGUGACCGGCCACAUUGGGAUUGGGGUACGGCCCAGAGUCCUACGGAGGCAGCAGUGGGGAAUAUUGCACAAUGGGCGGAAGCCUGAUGCAGCAACGCCGCGUGCGGGAUGACGGCCUUCGGGUUGUAAACCGCUUUCGCCUGUGACGAAGCGUGAGUGACGGUAAUGGGUAAAGAAGCACCGGCUAACUACGUG